UACGAAGGGGGGCUAGCGUUGCUCGGAAUCACUGGGCGUAAAGGGUGCGUAGGCGGGUCUUUUAAGUCAGGGGUGAAAUCCUGGAGCUCAACUCCAGAACUGCCUUUGAUACUGAGGAUCUUGAGUUCGGGAGAGGUGAGUGGAACUGCGAGUGUAGAGGUGAAAUUCGUAGAUAUUCGCAAGAACACCAGUGGCGAAGGCGACUUACUGGACACAUAUUGACGCUGAGGUGCGAAAGCGUGGGGAGCAAACAGG
rnacentral:rRNA from 1 species